CUUCCGUAGGUGAACCUGCGGAAGGAUCAUUAAGAAUUGAUAAUAUUUGUGAAAUUUACACAGCAAACAAUAAUUAUACAAUCAAAACAAAAAUAAUCAAAACUUUUAACAAUGGAUCUCUUGGUUCUCGUAUCGAUGAAGAACGCAGCGAAACGCGAUAUUUCUUGUGAAUUGCAGAAGUGAAUCAUCAGUUUUUGAACGCACAUUGCACUUUGGGGUAUCCCCCAAAGUAUACUUGUUUGAGCGUUGUUUCUCUCUUGGAAUUGCAUUGCUUUUCUAAAAUUUCAAAUCAAAUUCGUUUGAAAAACAACACUAUUCAACCUCAGAUCAAGUAGGAUUACCCGCUGAACUUAAGCAUAUCAAUAACCGGAGG
rnacentral:rRNA from 1 species